rnacentral:rRNA from 1 species
AACGAACGCUGGCGGCAUGCCUAACACAUGCAAGUCGAACGAGACCUUCGGGUCUAGUGGCGCACGGGUGCGUAACGCGUGGGAACCUGCCCUUAGGUUCGGAAUAACUCCCCGAAAGGGGUGCUAAUACCGGAUAAUGUCUUCGGACCAAAGAUUUAUCGCCUUUGGAUGGGCCCGCGUUGGAUUCGCUAGUUGGUAGGGUAAAAGCCUACCAAGGCGACGAUCCAUAGCUGGUCUGAGAGGAGGAUCAGCCACACUGGGACUGAGACACGGCCCAGACUCCUACGGGAGGCAGCAGUGGGGAAUAUUGGACAAUGGGCGAAAGCCUGAUCCAGCAAUGCCGCGUGAGUGAUGAAGGCCUUAGGGUUGUAAAGCUCUUUUACCCGGGAUGAUAAUGACAGUACCGGGAGAAUAAGCUCCGGCUAACUCCGUG